UAGGGAAUCUUCGGCAAUGGACGCAAGUCUGACCGAGCAACGCCGCGUGAGUGAAGAAGGUUUUCGGAUCGUAAAACUCUGUUGUUAGAGAAGAACAAGGAUGAGAGUAAAAUGUUCAUCCCUUGACGGUAUCUAACCAGAAAGCCACGGCUAACUACGUGCCAGCAGCCGCGGUAAUACGUAGGUGGCAAGCGUUGUCCGGAUUUAUUGGGCGUAAAGCGAGCGCAGGCGGUUUCUUAAGUCUGAUGUGAAAGCCCCCGGCUCAACCGGGGAGGGUCAUUGGAAACUGGGAAACUUGAGUGCAGAAGAGGAGGGUGGAAUUCCAUGUGUAGCGGUGAAAUGCGUAGAUAUAUGGAGGAACACCAGUGGCGAAGGCGGCUCUCUGGUCUGUAACUGACGCUGAGGCUCGAAAGCGUGGGGAGCAAACAGG
rnacentral:rRNA from 1 species